AACGAACGCUGGCGGCAUGCCUAACACAUGCAAGUCGAACGAGACCUUCGGGUCUAGUGGCGCACGGGUGCGUAACGCGUGGGAACCUGCCCUUAGGUUCGGAAUAACUCCCCGAAAGGGGUGCUAAUACCGGAUAAUGUCUUCGGACCAAAGAUUUAUCGCCUUUGGAUGGGCCCGCGUUGGAUUAGCUAGUUGGUAGGGUAAAAGCCUACCAAGGCGACGAUCCAUAGCUAGUCUGAGAGGAUGAUCAGCCACACUGGGACUGAGACACGGCCCAGACUCCUACGGGAGGCAGCAGUGGGGAAUAUUGGAGGAUGGGCGAAAGCCUGAUCCAGCAAUGCCGCGUGAGUGAUGAAGGCCUUAGGGUUGUAAAGCUCUUUUACCCGGGAUGAUAAUGACAGUACCGGGAGAAUAAGCUCCGGCUAACUCCGUG
rnacentral:rRNA from 1 species